rnacentral:SRP_RNA from 1 species
GCUGGGCAUGGUGGCGCGUGCCUGUAGUCCCAGCUACUCGGGAGGCAGGCUGGAGGAUCGCUUGAGUCGAAGAGUUCUGGGCUGUAGUGUGCUAUGCCCAUUGGGUGUCCGCACUAAGUUAAGCAUCAAUAUGGUGACCUCCCGGGAGCUGGGGACCACCAGCCUGCCUAAGAAGGGGUGAACCGGCCCAGGUCAGAAACGGAGCAGGUCAAAACUCCCGUGCUGAUCAGUAGUGGGAUCCUGCCUGUGAAUAGCCACUGCACUCCAGCCUGGGCAACGUAGUGAGACCCUGUCUCA